GGCCACAGAUGUUGGCCUUCGACUUUCCUUCUCCUACUUUCUGGGACUUCCGAUCACCAUUCUCCUGUGGUCCCUUGCUUGUUUGAUUCAGUGACUUCUUAUUUCUUAGUUCAUUUCCUAUUUCUGCUGCCUGGAGCCAAGGACAGAAGUGAACCAGAACCUGGAUUUGACCUCCCUCAAGCCUUCCUUCCCAGCAGGCCCACAGAAGGAAAACAACGUUGCUUGCAAGCACCUCCUAAUCUUCCUAGAGAUAAAAAUGCUGCACCCCUCACCCUGCAAGGAAAAGGUGCGAGGCUCUCCGUCUUCAGGGCUGGACACCUGAAUCUGAAACAUUUUCAGGAAACACGCUGAGUGAGACUGGAGAAGUGAGUCAGAAAGGCCUGGAAGCAAACAUGAAAACACUCAUGAAUGGUGAACCGAGGUCCUGGUGAACUGAAAGGCUUACCAGGAGAAGGCUGAAGACUUUUCUGCUUGUGUCCCCUAAAACAUGCAUGAUUAGCCAUUUGGAAACUUCAUGGGCAUCACUGUACCCAUAUAGACAACAAAAAGUACGCAUAUAUAUGACAGGCAUGCUACAGAACGAGAGCUUAGGCCUCCCCCAGUGAGAGUUCUGUUCCCCAUCACCACCCCUGGCACCCCAGUGCCUCCUCUUGGGUGGCCUCCGGGAGCGCCUGCCUCCUGUGGGCAACUCCUGUUUGGAAUUAGAGCUGGUCCCAGCCUUGCCUGGCCUUUGCCACUGUAUCAGCCCUAUAACCGUGGGGAAUGCAUGUGACUAUCUACACCUUAGCUAGCUCCUCUGUGAAAUGCAGGAAUGGUAGUCCCUCCUCUGCAGGGCUGCUGUGAGAUCGAGGCCAGGCCAGGGCACCAUUUAGC
rnacentral:lncRNA from 1 species